rnacentral:lncRNA from 1 species
UGGGAAAAGGAGGGUCUGGGAGGCAGAUCGGGAGCUCACAGGAAGCCGGGAUUGAGGUCAUUCUGUUACUGCGUAUCUUAAUCGUUUUCAGGAAGAAGUUGGAGGAAUGCAGCAAGACUAAAUCUGCGACGGGUGAAGGGUUAUCAAGGUUCUCCUUAGGGGGAGGGGGUCCUUCACCCACGUUCUGCCUGGGUUUCGAUGUGUUCGCCGAGCGGGCUUGUUUUGUCUUGCCCUCCCAGGGUCACAGAGUGGCCUUGUCUGAUGCUGGCAUUCCAUGGGAUUGUUUAUGUUGAGCAGGAGGAUGUUGGCCGGGGCCCAGCUGUGACUGCCAGACUAGUGCCUAGCAACACCAAGGCCAGCUGUGAAGGCCAGGCCAGCUUGAGUCUCUUUCUCCAAGGUCAAGUUCAGCUCUAACCAGAUGGCGGGUGCUGGGAAGGCUGGGUAGUGCCUGCAAAGCUCACUGAUGUGUCUCAGGUGCCUGGAACAGGGCCUGGUACCCAGCAGCUGCCCGGAGAAAGGCACUGUGGUAUCACAAAGUCGUGGGGGACUGCACGGGCUUGAGAGAAAGGAUCCCCCAACUAUGCAUCAGCAGAAACUAGAGGCCUCCUUUCUUCUGCACGCUUCCAUCUUGGCUUGGAUCUUUUUCUGCUGCAGAAACAGUGACCCCAAUUACAGGAGGAUGAUGCACACAGACCCCCCCCCCCCUGCACUCAAGUCUUACUAGGGACGGGCACUGGUUGGAUGUGGAGUUAAAAUUUUCUUGUGGGGCUGGGCGGGGUGUAGCUCCAUGGUGGAGCUUGUCAAGCAUAAACCAGGCCUGGUGCACUGCUUGGGCUGUUAUGGGGAAGUCAGGGUCUUAGGUGAGCAAGAACAGGGACUGCUGAAGGAGGGGGCUGUGGGCCAGGAAGAAAUAGAUGGGUUCCGGGGAUCUUUUCUUUUGGGCAGGGGUACCAGGGAUUGAAUGCAGGGGCAUUUGAAUGCAGGGGCAUUUGAUCACCAAGCCACAUCCCCAGCCCUCUUUUGUAUUUUAUUUAAAGACGGGGUCUCACUGAGCUGCUUAGCGCCUCGCUUUUGCUGAGGCUGGCUUUGAACUUGAGGUUCUCCUGCCUCAGCCUCCCAAGCUGCUGGGAUGACAGGUGUGCACCACGGCGCCCAGCCAGGGAUCUUGUCUUUUGGAAGAGUACUGGGGACUGGAUCAGGCUGGACCUUCCCAUACCAACCGAAUCUCCAGUUUGACCAUUUAGGUUCUGGUCAUGCCACCGAGGUUAGUUCCUGGGUUGUGCUGAAUGAUGUCACAUAAGGGUUCAGGAUGCUGUCCUACGGAUGGAUGUUUAGAUUAUGGCCAAAAUGCUUCUAACUGGACAUUUACUUGUUGCAAUCCCCUCCCGGCUCUAGCUGUGGCGAGUUCCAACCAAAUGCCCUGUACCUGGGAGUGGACAAGUUCUCCCAGGACCAUAUGGAGGGUGAGAAGAGAGCCCUGGACAGGAGCUGAGCCCUGCAAGCAAUCCCACUUACGGAGAACCACUUUGUUCCAGGACAGACCAACAUCUUUGCCCUGGUGGAGUUCACAAUCUGUUGAGGAGAGAUAGGCAACUAGAAGAAUAAACGAAACACGUAGUUUGUUUUUA